UUUUUUUUUUUUUGUGGGAUCCACUAGCACAGUUGCAUACAGCACGCACGCAUUGCAGCCGUCUCCACUCCCAAGUCACUGCAGUGCCUCGCCAUGCAGCUCGUGGAGUCUUGCUUCACCAAGCCAUUCUUUUGGUCCGAGCCCCUGGUGCCAUGUCUUUCACGUGGUCACCGUGACCAUGUAUCUCCCGGCCUUCAGCAUCUGGUUUGGAUGCAACUAAUUGUGGUCGGUAUCACUACUCUGGGAGAGCUUAGCUUGGUUAUCAAGGUUCCAGAGCAUGCAUGUUACUACCUUGAUUUCACUGUUUUUCCCCCCUUCUGUUUGUGGUGAUGAUAUCACUACUCUUUAUCAGUGUGAUGUUAUAACUAGGAAUGCAUGUGUUAUUGGCUCUAUCAAGUGUGCAAUGAACUUUAUUAAUUCUAUUCUGUUCCUAAUGAUCGGAAAUUCCCGGUUUAUCAUGUUGUUAUAUAUUAUUAAGGCUACUAGUUAGGACCUUGUCACAUGGACUUGUUGAGCAUCAGUAAUGAUGGAUUCAACCAAAUAUCUUCAACGUUAGAAUUAUAUCAAGGAAAUUGUUCGCCCAGAUCGAUGCAUGUUAUUCGGUUGGACGAACAAAGCUGUGACAUCAAGAUAUCAUCAACACUGUGAUCUUAACACUCAUGUUCAUCAUCAUCAUGGAGACAUGCAUGGACAUGGACUCAUGGUCCAUGUUUCUCAUUUUGUUUGACACAUGUAGCUGGGAUGCGUGUGAGUUAUGAUCGUCCCAUUGCACCAAAAUGUUUUGGAUGCAUGUUACCUAGCCUACAGCAACAGCAGGCAUCAUGUGCUGAUCGUUCCAUUGCACCAAAAUAGAAAUAUGAAAUGUGAUGUAAGGAGUGCCAGAAAACACUAGCUAUUUAGCAUCCUUAUCUUUUCAGUCGCUUGAAUAUUCAUAGUAUAUAUGCAAGCGCCCCACCACCGUUGUUGUGCAUAUGGUGAAGACACUGGUUCGUGCAUGCAUGCUUCAUUGGGAUAUGCAUAGUAAUUUCUCUCACCUUACAUCUUACCAUGUGCUAUUAUAUUCCCUAGCAAGUAGUAUCAACCAAGCCAGAUUCUCUCUCUAAGGUAGCCACAAUUAGUUGAGUUUCAUUUGGAAAUGACACCUAGCUAAAUGAGCAGCUCAAGAGACAGACGAAGAAGACCAAUGUCUCUUCCUUCUGCCCUCCUCUCUAAUUUCUUUUUAACCCAGCCGUAAACUCUGAACUCUGAACUCUGCUAGCACAGCUAGCAGAAGCAGGCGACAUCUCGCUGGGGGUUAGGAUGGGUGAUUAAGUUUCUGGAACCGGCAUUAAAGGGUGGGGACUAAUGCCCCCCCCCCCCUAAUCCCGGUUCAGCACGAACCGGCACUAAUGGCCCGCCACGUGGCACGAGUCCGCGCCGGAGCCUGGGAGACCUUUAGUCCUGGUUGGUAAUACCAACCAGGACUAAAAGGUUUAGGGGUUUUGGGUUUUAUGAUUUAUUUUUCCUUUUAAUUUUGUGUUUUUCAUUUAAUUUUUUUUUAUUUAAAACAUAUUUUACACUACUACAUAUUGUACACAUUAUGCACAUAUAUAAAUAGAAUUUCUCGUAGAACUGAUCAUAUAUGUAUCAUCGACUUUCUCGCGCGACCAUUCACGCAUAUACACAUAUAUAAAAAGGGUAAGAACAAGAGGCUCACCACAAGGUGGUGCCGGCAACGGGACGGUGCGGGCGAUCGAUGGUCGUUAGGAUGGAGACGGGAAGGCACUAAGUAAACCAUACCUACAUAUGCAAACUAAGAGUUAUUUUGAGCUCAAAUUGCAUGUAAGUCAAAUAAACCACCACAAAUAAUUCCUCCAAAUUACUAAAACCCACAAAUUAAUCACUAUAUAGAGCAUUGCAAGAGUUAAUCUAGCAAUGAGAGAUGAAAGAACAAAGUUGCUAACCUUUGUGAUCACUUGAAUGGAUGGGGGCCUUCAAAUCUUGACAAAAUUUGGGCAAAAUGUGUGAUGAGCUCGAGGAAGAGGGGAAGAACAAAGAGGAGAGGAAAGGAAAGGGGAAGAACAGAGAACUCGGGCUGGACGAAGGGGUUUAUAUAGAGGCACGAACCGGGACCAAAGGUCCAUCCCUAGUACCGGUUCGUGCCACGAACCGGGACUAAAGGUGUUGGUGGGGCCACAGCCUGACAUCAGACUGAACCGGUACUAGAGGUUCACCAUGAACCAGGACUAAUGACCACCGCCCGCCUAGCCGUUGGAACCGGCACUAAUGAUCACAUUAGUGUCGGUUCAAUUACAAACCGGGACUAAUGAGAUUCACAUUAGGCCCUUUUUCUACUAGUUUUUUAUGUGUGUGUGGGGUGGGGGGGGUCCACCUUAAGCUCAACAUUUUUCUUUUUUUAGGUACCGGCCAAGCUCGAUUGCAAGUUUGCCAGUCAUUAAUUUUUGUUUUUCAGGAAAAGUUGGUGUUGGAUAUUAAUUUACUAUUGCACACUCAUUAUAAGAUGUUUUGACAAUUUAAUUUAAACAGCAAUAAUUUACUAUCACACACUCACUAUUUAUACUAUCUUGUUUCUAAAUGUAAACUAUUUCUGUUUAAAUUAAAUUGUCAGAACAUCUUAUAUUUAGAAACAGAGGGUGUGACAGAUUGUAUGAUUUUUUAUUUUUUAUUUUACUUUAAGCCAUUGAAUGCACAUCUGACCGAGUUGUAUAUAUGUCCUACUUGCCGUAACUUGCAUAAAAUGGAACAAAAUAGGAUAGCAUUGACUGAGAGUCGCACCGAGUGUAGCACCAAGGUAUGGCUAUGGAGAGGACAACCAUGUAUCGAGGAACUUCUGCCUCCUAAAUUAACUCUACGAUUAUGAAAUAAAACUCAUUUACCCUCGCAAAAAGAAAACUUGCACAGAAAAAUUGUAUUCCAAAGUUUCAAUAAACUGAAAAUGGUAAACAAUACCUUUGGGAUUGGUCGUUUGUCUUCCACCUCAAGAGCAUUCCUCGUACAUCUUCAAGUUUUCAUUUCCUUCCUCCUAUAUAAUUUCUCCUCCUACUUGAUGUCUCGUCUCUCCGCCUCUACUCCCCAUUCCUAUCAUGCUUUACGGUCCCCCUACCCCCAUACCACAUAAAGGGAAAUUAAGAGAGCUUGCUUAUUGCCGUCGUGGAGGAGACGCAUAGCUCAUUCUUGAUGCAAUGACGGCGGCGGCCGGUUUGCCAGGGAAUGCAGAUGGCUGGACAUUACAUGAUGGGACGACAUUACAUGAUGGAACUGUUGAAAUAUAUUGUCCACCUCUUUCUAUCGGUUCGGACUUUGGGAGCAACUAGCUGAAGCAUAAAUUCAGCAUGGUAUCCGAGCCAAGUGGCCUUAAAGUCAAGACCCUGCCAAUGCAGUAUCAAAAAAGGAUUUCGUGGCCUACAUUGAUCCAAAGUCUAAGGGCUAAAAUAGCCUAGAUGUAAAGGGGAGUGAAAUAUAUUGUCCGCCUCACUGAAGCAUGAAUUCAAUAGGAACAUGAGCCCAAUGUAACUAGUUCCCGUCGUCGAUAGAAUGUAGAGGUUAUUGAUGGCAGUACAGAGGUGGAGAAAGCGAUAACCCAAUGUUGAUGGUGGGACAAACUCGGAAGAUACAUGGGAGGCCGAGCUCAUUUGUCAUGUUGAAGCAACAAGGGUGCCCCCUAGUCGGGGGCCUUUCCCUAGCGCCUCGAACAGAGGGAACUGGUUGCUUUUUCCUAACAAUACGUGAUCCUAAAGGUGAUAUUUCAACUAUCAUAUGAAACUGGUGGCUUUUUCCUAACAAUACGCGUUCCUCGAGGCGAUAUUUCAACUAUCAUAUUCGCUGGAAAUUAUUGUUUCAAACAGAACUAAUUUCACAAUGCAAGAGUUAUAUUUUAAAUCCGGCUUGGUGUUGUCGACGUUGACAUUUUUCUUCUCUUCUCUAACAGUGAUAAAAUCUAGAAACAUUUGACUUGUCUGAAUUCUAAAACGACCUACAUUGCUGCGCCAAAUGUUCGGCUGGCUGAUAUCUUUGUUGUGUUAUCCCUCUUUAGGUUGAACGAUCUCUUAGCUUUAUCAGGCAAUGCAGCUAUUACAUUGUGUACACAGAAAAAUAAAAUAGUCACAUGAACAUAUCUGAAUGCCAGCAGAGGAUGAUGAUAGACAAAAGAAAAGGGGAAAACAAAUGUACAGCCCAUGAAUAGCACUUCAAAAGAAAAAGGAAAAAUGCAGAAGCGGAAAUAUUUUCUUACAGCCAGUCAGCUUCCUUCAUCACCACUCCAGAAUACAGUUUAUACAAACACCAAUGCAUCAAAAGAUACCAAAUGGAUGUCAUAUAAUGCAACACCCGCAAAACCUCUUGUCGUCCCGUGUAACGAUAUCCUACGCAAAAUGAAUGAGAAACGGAGAAGAAAGCAGCUUUAAGCCACAGUGAAGCUACUAAUCAAUUUACAAUUUCCCUCAAAUUUACAAAUUACAGCUACAUUUUUCCCAAGUGUGUAUAUGGUGCCGAAUAGCUCAAUUGUACUCCCGCCGAUCCUGACGGGUACGGGAAUGUUGAAGACUGUCACGCCACUGCACGCCUGCAUACGCAAAGAAUUGCUAUCCUGUUCUACAUAGUAACAAUUUUCGAAAUGCAGACUGGCGGAUAUCCGUGAGCCUAUUGCUACAACCCAUCUCCUGUGUAAAAUGAACAGCUAGCGCCCAAAGAUAUGAGCAUGUCCGAAUUCUCCACAGCCAGCCCUCGACGAUAUUAGCAAAAACAUGUCCACGGUAAUCUAAAUGGACGAUGGAGCCUGAGCAGUGAACGUGUACAAUCUACAGCGACGACUCACCCAAUUCCCAACCGACGAAUCAUAGUGGAAGAAGAUUCCGGAUAUACUGCCGGGAAGCACUGUUGCGUCCAAGGCCCAGCCCUAGGCCGAACGGUGUCCUCUCAUUCUUCUUGCUGUGGUCACAACACUGAGAGGAACCACCUUGACUGUGAGAGUUUGAGUUGGCAUGUGAAUCAGCACAAGCAUGGUCAUCGCAAUUACCAUGAUGGGAAUUGCCCUCGCCAUUCUGUGAGACUGCACUUGUCAUCUGUAUCAUUCCUAUUUCUUCGUCAGUGCGUGAUGCAUGCUCGAGCCGCUCAACGUCUUCAUUGUACCCGUUUACCAAGAAGUCUGAGCAGUUCUUGCGCACCCCAUGGUCGAACGGAUUUCUGAAUCUGCCAGCUGGGCCUCUUAGAUAAGUGUAUCUCAUGGAAUUGGCCAUCUCGUUGGUCGUGAUGUUCCUUGCUAUCUACAAGGGAGAGAAACAAUACAUGAAGAAGAAUACAUGGUACAGAUCAACAUGUCCCUCCUGUACUCCAGAGAGGCUAUAACUACUGGAUGGAAAGCAUGGUCCCACACAUGAACCUCACAGAUAGCUUCAUAAAUCAAAUAAGCAGACAAUGAUGUUUCGCAUCUGGCCUUGAUUUUAUCUCUGUUCAGUAAUUGCAAUCUUGACUUUGCUAUUGAAUUCCAAACAUGAUACAGUUUUAUUGACAAAUGCUUAACUAUAUUGCCUGACCAAUAAUGUUGUGUUCAUACUUGAUAGGUCAUAUACUCAUGAAUGAGCUGACAACGACAUGCCAAUCUGACAUAUCCAGCAAUUUCCAUAGAAAAAUGAUCCAGCAAGGCACAAAUAUCUGGGAAAACUCUAGUAAAGGUGUUACCGCAGUAGCAUACUUUCCGUAAAAAAAAGAUCCAGCAAGGCACAAAUAAUGUUAUGUUCAGGAUGUUUUAUACAAGUUCAUGCCUUAGUUUAGUUAGCAAUCAAAAAAUGUUGAAGAUUGUGCUACAAUGCACAAGCAUAUCGGUGGCUUCAUGAUUUUAGAAUCAAAUAACAAAUAACUUGGUUUUCUUAGGUAAAAACAUCCACGAUUUAUAACAUUAAAACUUUAAAUACCUGGUACGCUUGAACUCCUGUUAGACAUGCAACACCAAAGAAAAUGAAAAGGUCCAUCAUGAAAAAAGAAACAGCUCCAGUAUGGUAAACAACAGAAUAGCCUAGCCAAUCGCCAAAGGAUGCUGGAGAAGCUGGGUCACUUACAGUCCCUGCCAACAAAAAAAGUAAUGAAUCAUACGGAACAUUUCCAGUCCAUGUUGCAAGGAAAAGCCACAGAAGACUUAAGACUAUACUUAUGAUGGCAGCAGAACCAGUAAUGAUCAUUGCAAUUACUUCUAGAGUGAUGAACAUGAAGAAUUCCCAUUUGUUCUUCUGCAGUUACAUUCCACUAUAGAUCAGACUGAAGAACAAGCAGAUAUGAAGAGAAUAACAAAAUUCAAACAAAAAGUAAAGAAAGAAUCAGCAAGUGAUAAGCACAGGCUCUUCAUAGUGUCACUUUCUUAAAAGUAAGGUGGUAUCAUAACCUUUUGUCUACAUGAUAUUCAUCAAGCAACAUAAACCGUCCAAUACAUCUUCAGAAGAGGUGAUAAGUUGAUAGCUACAUUUGAUCACAUGUAGGCACAUAUGACAUGACUGAAAAGCCUACCUUGCCGACGCAAUUAGAUACCCAGGGGCAGUGAUGGUCAAACUGCUCAACACAGCGAUCACAUGUAGAACAAUGUUUCGAACGAACAGGUCUGACAAUCUGCAGAACGACACGUUCAGAAAUCAGAGGCCUAAGAAUAUAAUUCUAGGAUAGAGACAACUAAUUCAUCACUGUAUAAUGUAGUAAUGUACCGCUUACUUUGCAGGUUAUACAAAGCUGUGACCAGUUACCAGUCAGAAGUGCAGGAUUGUCUAACUCCAUCUUCAACAAGGGUUCCUAAAGCAAAAUGGGAUUGCAACAUUUUGGGAUAUGCUUAAACCUUAAAUUUGGUAACGCAUCUAGAAUAGCAAAUGAUCAUAAAGGUGCUUGCAGCAAACCAAAUUAACUCGGCUAAUCUUUCAAACUUACAUCGUCCCUUUGAUUAUGUGAAUCUCUUGUAUUCGCACUGAUGUAGCCAGGGUCUUUCCUGCAGAAAGUAAAAGCAAAUUUUACAUCAUAGUGGUGUUGCUUAAUGAUAAUUAGGUCGCUUGUCUCUAACUGGUGGCAAUGGGUUAGUAGCACUACAUUUUAAUAGAGCAAAUUUGCAACACAUAUAUACGUUGCAAUCGCAAAAGAAUAAUGUUUAAAUAAUUUGCCAUGUACGUAACACAUAUAAGAGUAAUCUAAACAGGAUGUCAUAUAUGAGUGCAAAUAUGCAAGCAGACACAUAAUGAACUCUGCCACUGUCUGAAAGUAUUGUCAAGAAAAGUGGUAACUGACAAGAAUCAACAUGCUUGCUGGAUUCAACCUUUUCAUAACUACUCCCUCCGUCCCAAAAUACUUGUUGUGGUUUUAGUUCAGAACUAAAGCCACGACAAAUAUUUUGGAACGGAGGACUACCCAAAUGCUUCAGUACCUGCUACAUUUAUAGAACAUGACCAAGCCAGCAGUUGCAACGAAAACUCCGGACCAUGCAAAUAGCCCAAAUGCUGGUGGCAUACCCAUGUUAUAUUGUCCUGGUAAAAAGGAAAUAUAAAUAAGCACCACAGUGCGGAAGAACAGGGCGAGUGAAAAGACAUUAGAAACGCCACUUACCUGCUAUAACAGAAUGUAUAUAUGUAGCAAGCAAUACAACAGCGAUACACCAAAGAAGAGGAGCAAGCCCUACUUUUGAUAGCUUUGCAAAUGUCGGAUUCCUGUUACAUCCACUGUCAUGUACCCUUCUAGCAUUGUCCUGUAAGGAAUGACGCAAAUCAAGUCUUCAGAUUCUUCUUGGAAACAAGAAAAGAUUUCCCCAGUUCAAAUAUCAGCAAUACUAAAGCCCUUUCAACUCAAGAUCAACAUGAUCGCUUUUUUGCAGAUAAUAUACAUUGAGGGAUAACUGAAACGGUUAAUCUACAAGGCAUCAUAAAUAAUUAAAGUGAAGAAGUCUUAAUCUAUCAGUGCAAUCAGCCAACCACAUGUAAAUGCUAAACAGUUAAUCAUUUCAAUUCCUAAGUUCAAAUGGAAUCUGCAAAAUAUCUGUGAGACAGUAAGAGAAUAGGUCACAAAGAAGAAAAUAUAUUUUUCUCCUUGGUUGCAUCUAUGUACAUACAAGUACCAGUUUCUGGUAUUUUCCAGCCAAACCAGUAUCUGCUUUUUGUUCUAAAUAUAGCCAAUUAGACAUGUCAUUUGACUGUACUUUUAUCAAGUCUACACAUAAAAUUACCAGGUUCAGAAAGCAUGUGCAUCAUUCAACAAAUUCGCCAACAAUACCUCAUCAUGAAACUCAGCCUUCCUUAACGAAUUUAAACAAUUAGAAAGCAGGCAUACAAAAUCUAUAGUGAUGCAAAUUAAUAUUGCUUAUAGUUUUUGUCUUUAUGCAAAUCAAAAUAAUUACUAGACAGAAUCCCUAUUAGAUGACAGUGCUUGUGCAUUGAGCCUCCGAGGUGCUGGAAAUAGCAGCUCAAGUAGACUAGAACAGAAAUGACAUGGUCCGUGUUGUUACUCACAAGAAAAAAUGCAACUUGUCGAUGAUUCUUAUCAGCAGCAAGCUGUGCUGGAGUUAAACCAGUUUUGUCUUUCACCAUCAAGUCAUCCUUUUUCCCAGCCUGAACUAGCACAGUGCAUGCUUCUAGAUUACCCCGGAUAGCAGCCCAAUGUAAAGGAGUACAACCUACGGCAGCAUUUGUCAUAAAGAAAUAAAAGUCAAGCUCCACGUGCUGUGUUCUAUUUACAGGCAGAGCAGUGAAUAAAUUUAGCACAUGCCUUCCUUAUCCUGCCGCACCCUAUGAGCAUCCAAAUACAAAAGAAGACGUAUCGAAUCUGCGAACCCCUUGUAAGCAGCCCUACAAGGUAAAUAAGCAACACAUAAGAAAACAGAAAUGUAAAUGUAAAAGCAGGUCCUAAAGUUCUGUUCAGACAUAUGUUACAUAAUGCACCAGCAGAAAUAAUUGGUAGGCUAAUGAGUUACUCAAGACUCAAGAGCAUAAGGUACGAACAAACCAGUGCAAUGGGCUUCUUCCAUCGUUGUCAGGGACAUCUGGAUCGGCAUUCCAUUUUGCAACAAUGUGAUAAAUAAAUGCUGUCUGACCAUACUGCGCUGCAACAUGUGUGGCCUGCAAACAACAGUAUAUAUUGAUUUAUAGAGUUGUAAUUAAUUCAAUGCCACAUGUGAAUGCCGUUGAUUCUUGCAUUUCUUUUCAUGUAGAAAAAAUCGUAUAGCCAAAGGUUUUUUUGUCCAUUACAUAUCUCUUAUCGUGUAACUUGCAGGAAAACAAGAUGGGAAUAGUUGAUCCAUUUGGCAGGCAAAUAUCCAACGACUAGUUGUCUAUCAGUUGUGAAUGAACAUUGGACACCCAAAAGCAAACACAAAGGCAAAACAAGGGCGAAAGACACGGAAGAAGUCAGUAUGCAGACCUGAUAGCCAUAUAAAUCAGCAGCAUCCACCUUAGCUCCCUCUUUCAGAAGUAGUUCAGCAACUUGUAUGUGACCACGUACAGAACUCCAGUGAAGUGCUGUCUGCCCAGUGUGAUCCACAGCAUUUACAUCUCCACCAUGCUGUCCAAAGACCACAAAAUCAUCACCCAGCCAAUAUAGAAAAUUAUUCAGGCAACUACAGCUACCAGGAGCAAGUACUGCGUAGAAAGCCCAUUCACGCACUCAAGUACAUAACAGGCAUACUCCUAUUGAUCGCCAUGGGGUACACUACAUUGUAUGAGCAGACUAUCCCAAGCCCACCACACGCUCAUUUGCUUAUACUCGAAACUGUGGAGGAAUUAAACUGAGGCAAAUGGUGAAUGCGACAAACAACAAGCUGGUGCCCUCGAACGAGUCCACGAGCUACAAAUCCAUGCGGUUAACCAACUCAAAUAUACGGCCUCGGGAAAAUUCCCCUCGUUGUAAGCAUGGCUGCCCAAACCUACCCAGCCACAGCACUAGGACAUUCAAUUGUCCCGUCAACCGAGUAAAUGAGCAGCUGAGAAAGCUCCCAUGGCUACACUCCAAGCUCAUACACACUUCAUGGAAUCCCCCAAAGGCCCAUACCCAAUGCAUGGCAAUUUCUGACCACGGUAACGAUAAGCAUCCAUCGUUUAAAGCUCGCAGCGGCGUAAAUUGUUCCGGACAUCGACACUAAGGCGCCCGCAGUUGUGUGGCAUGCAAAGUUCAGCUCGCAGAGCAAGCGCGCAUGGGUAAAGCUGAGAGGGGAGGGAAGCGGAGCGGGGCGGGGCCGGAACCUCGAGGAUGUACUGCGCGGCGGCGACGCGGUUGUUGAGGACGGCCCACUGGAGCGCGUAGUAGCCGGAGGCGUCGGUCCCGCCGACGGGGCGGCCCUCCGCCUCCACCAGCCGCUGCAGCUUCUCCAGAUCGCCGUACGCCGCCGCCGUGUACACGUCGUCCUUGAGCGCCUCCUCCUCCGCCACCGCCGCGGCCACCGGCACCUCCGCGGGCGUCGCCGCCGCCGCGGCGGUGGUGUCCUCGAGCACCUCGAUCUCCGACGCCAUGGGCGGGGAUCGGAUCGGGGGUUUUGGGGGAAUUGCGGGGCCGGUGGGGCGAGGGGAGGAGCUUGGCUCGGGCUGCCGCGGUGGUUGGGGAGAGCGUGCGUGCGUGCGUGCGUUUGACUGGGCGUUGGCGGCGAGGCGACGGCCUCCGGCGACGCGGGCGGGCGGGCUGGUCUCCGCUCUGGUGGUGGGCCGGAGGCGGAGAACGCGAGAGGGGGCGGGGGAGGGGAGACCCGGACCGGAGAAGGGGGACGAAUGUGGGGGAUUUUUUGCGUGUCAGGACCUCUGUUUUCCUUAUUUUCUGUCGGGCUACAGCUUCGAGUAAUUUGAAAGCCAUGAAAUUCAAAUUAAUUUACAACCUUAAUGCUACAUAUCUGAUUGUAAAUCAAUUCACAACUUCAGUUAAUGAUUGUUAGAGCUAGGUUUAAGCAUAGGUGGAGACAAAGGUGUUUACCCAAGUGGGUUGUGUCGCGUUGAUUUUUCGGUCUGGGUUUUUCCUUGGACCUCUCGAACCACCUGUAUUAUUUAAAUUUAAAAUGAACUCGGUUUAAAUAGUGAAGGCGUAAAGAUGAUUUGCGCCAUCGUCUACGGAGGCUCCACCCAUAUCCCUUUGCCAUUCUUGUUUUUUCCUACGUUACGUACUCGCUGCUUCUUCUUUUUUUAAAUAAAACAUCCUCUUUAUUUAUUAGUAAUAAUGGUUACAUCGUUUAUAAGGAAAUUUACAAUAUCGUACUCGCUGCUACUUCUAUUUACAUAUCUACUCCGUGGAUAUAAUUGGUUGAGACGUGACCUUUUCGAUAACUCGGCCUAUUUGGACAAGGAGUGUUUUCUAUAUGCUCCACCUCAAAGUACAUAAAAGUUGCACUUGAUCUAAGCAUGGCCUAAUUAGCGCUGCCUGUUCUCCAUGUUAAAUUCGCGGUACCUUUUUUUCCUUUUCGACAAGCACACUUUCUUUUUCUUGAUUAUCUUAGUUAUGUAGUGUUUUUUCUUGAUAAUCUUAGUUAUGCAGUGAUUUUCUAAUAACGCUUUUUCGAUACAGUAACUACUAUUAUUGUGAGAUGAAGAUAUUGAUAUCGUACUUUGUUUGGUUUCUAACUUACUAGAUGAUGCCAUUGAAAAUUUGAAAUGACAUUACGAUCCAAUUAAGCCUUAGAGCAACUCUAGCAGACCCCGCAAAACGCCGGCCCGCAAAACGCGUUUGCAGUUCGCGCAAAACCGCUUUUGCGGGCCGGCAAGGGCUAGCACAGAUGCAGACCCCCCAAACGGACCCGUAAAAAUGUAUAUUCGCGGAAUAUGCUUUUUUACGGGUCGGCUAUGCGGGUUCUGCUCGGGCUCCAGCGCAACGACCCGCAAACACAAGAACUGCAAAUCUGAAAUUGUCAUAGGGUUUCACAAACAAGUUCAAAUUCAAAUGACAUAAACAAUUUGCGCGCGAAUAAAAGCGAAGUUCGUUACGCAAAAGAGGGCAUGCAAAGGUAUGCGCCCAUGUCCGGCAUCAUCUUGGGGGUCGAUCUUUACUCGGCGCCAUGGAGUCCAUUUAAAACUUCAUUGGCGCCACCGUAGCCACCUCCGUCGCUUGUUCCAACUCCCGCACCGAAAUCAUCCACAUUGCCACUGUGUGGAGCAGAGAAAACAUCACCGGAACUGGCAGACGGACCGGCCGAGGCGACUAUUCUCCUCUUCAAGAUCUCUCUCCUUGCCAUAUCAUGCCAUGUUUUGGUGACCUCGUCCAUGCCAUUGCGGUUCAUUGACAUGAUCUUGUUCUCUUCGGCGAGCAACAAUGACAACGAUUUGUUUUCAGAGGCGCGUACUUUUCUCUCCUCAAUGGCAGCUCUGCGCAGCCCCUCUUCCUUGAGCAUUUGCCAUUUUUCUUGCUUCUCUUUUGCCUUCUUUUCGGCCAACUCUUUCUUGAUCUCCAACGACUUCAACAACAUUAACUCGUUUGAUUGCACCAUGGCAUCAAUCUUCUCCCUCAAGCUUGAUGCUUCUUGCUCUCUCUUUAUCUUCUCUCUAGUCUUCUUGUCGCCAUCGGGCUUAUUCAAAUUUCUUGGGCCAUCAUCAUCCUCGUCUUCAUCCAUGUUUGUAAGUGAGCCUCUCUUGGGUGGGGACUCUUUGUCGAUCAACUUUCACUUCUCGCACUUUUGGAGCAACUCCCAACAAUGCUCUAAUUUAAAAAAUCUGCCUUUCGAAGCUUCCAUGUCCUUGUAUCUUUGUUGAGCAAUCUUGUCCUACACAAUGCGAACAAGGUGAUGCAAUCAUUUUUCAUGAUACAUUAUAAUGAUGCACAACUUCAACAAAGGCAAAGCAAACUCACAUAGUCGGACUCCACGGUGCCACUUGGAGGUGCAUUGCGUACUUGCUCCAAGCAAGCUGCCCAACGGCUGCACAUAGGCUUGAUGUUCUCCCAACGACCUUGAAGCGACCGAAAUGUGCGUGGAGUCUUGUUGGGGUAGUUUUUCAUAAUGGGGAAGUAUUGAUCUUCGAUCAUUUGCCAAUAUCUCUUGGCGGUUUGAUUAGUACUCAGUGCUUGCAUCAAGAGACACCGCACUCCAUGCUUUGAUCAAAGCUUGAUCUUCCAAGAUGGUGUAGUUUUUGAUCUUUGGCUUUUCCCAGCUUUUGCUUGUGAAUUCUCAAACGUUUCCGCUUCAAUCUCCGCCAAGUCGUCCGCACAACCAUGAUCGUCCACGCCGCCCUCCGUUUCAUUGUAGACGAAAGGUUCGACAGGGGCUUGAUCAAUGUCAACCGCGUUCGUGUCCAACAAGUUCACGAACUUGGUUGUUGCAUUGUUCGAACCACCGCUAUACCGAACGAUGACAAGUCAUGAGCUAUCGAAAAACAAUGGCAAAAAUGAAAGAGAAUCACCAAAGUCCGAAAAGAGAUAUACCUUCCGGCCAUUUCGUCGAACACCUCGCUCGCGGGUGCAGUGGCACCCUUGAACGGCAUCGCCGGAGCACCACCUUGGGGGGGGGGAUGGAGUGAGGGGUUGAAGAAGAUUUGUUCCUUGAAGUCGGGACCUUCCUCCGCUUUACGCCCGCGACCUUGUCGGCCUUCUCCGUCGCUGGCCGGGAUCGCACAGCGGCAUUGGCGCCCGGAGCGCGGGCCAUCGCGGCGGGGGUAGCCGGAUUCCCGCCCUGCACAAGCACGUUGCCCUGCCGCUUGCGGGCAGGCGUGGCGUGUGCUUGGGCGACGCCGGCGGGGCCUACAUGGCCGGCGACGAGAUCCGCCCGAGGGGAAGGGGCGUGCGCGACCUCGACGGUGACGGGGGACAGCAUGGUGUCGUCCAUGGCGGCGAGGGACGGCCGGGGAGGAGCAGCCGGAGCUUUCAGAGGGGGGGCAAUGGUGGCGGAGGGUGCGGAGAGCGGGAAAGGGGGCGCGGAAAUGUCCCUCCCGCAUAAUCUCGCGCCGGAUGGGGGUUGAGCUCGGGUCGGCCUCCCAGCCCGUGAAGAUGGAGAUUGAGAGAGAAGAUUUGCCGCGCCCCACGAAAUUUUUUGCGGGCCGGGGCGUUUUACGGGGUCUGCUCGUGCAUAUUUUUUGGCCCCAACCCGAAAUUUGGCGGUUAUUUUGCGGGCCGGGGCGUUUUGCGGGGUCUGCUAGAGUUGCUCUUAAAUGACCCAGAUAAACAAUCUAUACUCUAAUGCCUCUACUUUGUUUACUCCAUUGACCGUGGGAAACAACACAUACUCCGACGCAUGUCCUUUUGUUAUACUCCAGUCAUCAGUGACCCUGGCAUAAGACAUUUUAACAGCUUUGUUCCUGAAGCCGCUACUUUCAUGCUUUCUUGAGAGGGUUCAGGACACCUCAAUUGGAGCAAUUUGACACAAAAAACAUAUACCACAAUAAGUCUGCAUUGCAUCCAUCCAAUCAUUUACACAAUGAUAAAAGUAACUCCCACUGAAAAUUCAAGACAUGAAAGUCCGAACAAUUCGCCUGGCCCAUGUGUCGGUGGACAUUUGAGGUGUCCGUUUUGAUGUACCGCGUUGGAGUUGCAAUUAAUUAUUUGGUAUGCAUGCUUGGAUUGGGAGUAUUUUCUAUGCUUCUCCUCAAAGUAGACAAAAAUUACACUCAACCCAAGCAUGGCCUAAUCAUUGUUGCUAGUUGUUGGCUGUAUAGUUUUCAAUGUUAAUCCAAGCCUCCUUUUUCUCCAUUGUCUUACUUGUGCAGUGUUUUUCUAACAAGACUUUUUGCAAUACACUAAUUAUGUUAACUUAAGAUUAAGACGUUGCUCUCAUUGCAACUAACAAGGUGACGCCAUUGAAAUGACAUUACGAUCCAGUUUACUAGUUAAGACCAAAAGGACCCUGGGAAACAAGAUGUAUUUUGAUGCCUAUCCCGCAUCCUCGUCGUCGUCGACUCGACGGUGGAGGCCUGCUUGAUCAGGGCCAUGUUCGGGACUGGGCUCCGCCGGGCUGGUAUUGGGAGGUGCUACCUUCCGGGGGACGUAGGUUGGUGAGAAGGCAACCCGUUGUUGACCCGAUCCUUGUUUGGUGGCGGUCGCGUGGGCCAGUGACGGUGGUGAGGCAUCCGGACACCGCGGAGGUGGUACGUCACCGUGUCAGCGAGAAGGACGAGCACGUCCGUCGCUACAUGGUUGCAUUGGAGGGCGGAUUCGACAAUACCUGGCAGGUUCUUCAGGGAUCUCACUGGAGCUAUGAUCCUGUGAUGGUUCCUUAUCUUUGGGUGUCCACCGCUCGCGUCGAUACCCGUCGGGCGCUACGGUUCUAGUUGUAUUAGUGAUAAUAUUCGACGAUGUACGGACACCAAGAGAUGAUAUACUUUUGCUUAUAAUUAUUGAAUGCAUGCUAAUUUGAAUACUAUACUUUAUUUUAUGAUUUGGUUUUGCUUAUUUUAUGAUUUGGUUUUGCUUAUUGAAUGCUCAUAUUGGAUAAGUUCUCUUUCAUUCCCGUGUGCUAGACAAUUUGAUAUAAUAAUGCAUUUGGGAAUGAAAGGAGGAGCUACGUACAUCGAUCAUCGAUAGUCAACCCAUGAUUAAUAAUAAUGAUCUAGUUUAAUAUUUGAAUUAUGAACGUAGGCCGGAAAUGUCGUACUCAUCGGACGACGAAAACCGCCCGGGGGAGUGCGACUGGUGCCACGACGACCGAGGUAUCUGCGACAGGUUCAUUGUGCUGGACAAAGAUCGUCGCUUCAGCAUUAAGCUCGAGGAGACCUUCGAUGUUCAUACGGUACGCAACCGACGAUAAUAGUUUUUUUGUAAUUACUCAUGACUUCAACUAUUUUAGUCAUGACAAUAUUUUUCAUCUUUUCCAAUUCGACUAGCUUAUCCCAUGCUUUGCAAGACGCUAUGUCUUAGAGAGGAUGGGUUUUGAAGACCAUGAAAGUUUCGAAACCAAAAAAAUUAUUCUAAGUACCCAUCAUGGUGUGAAUUUUCAAGUAAAGCUGUACAAUGCUCAGAGUGUAACCCAUUUUGGUUGCAAAAAUUGGGAAGCACUUUGCAAGAUGUAUGGUUUUGAUGAGGGUAUGCUUGUUACCAUGGAUCUUGGUGAUCCUACAAUCGAGCAAGAGAGACCUACGAUUUUCGUCCUUGUGAAUACACCUUCAAUUCUUCCCCCAUGUGAGCUUAACAUAGUUAUUAAGUAAUUUAUAUUGUUUAUUUCAAAAUAGUUGACAACUUAUUCUCCAUUGACAGCUUAUUUUCAUUCUUCAAAGAAUGUGCGGAAGAUGGUAGACAAAACCUACUACACCAAAGGCUCCGAACUAACUUAUCAUGAGAAAAAUCAUCUGGUCGCAUUUUGUACUGAUCUUGAAAAUUACAAUGUCUACAAUCGAACUCCUCAACAUUAUGGUCAAUACGUGCCACUAGUGCACGUGUUGAACUACGGUAACUACCAUGGAAAUACCCUGGUAAGAUUUUUGUACUAUUACAACAUCCGUGCAUCUUUUUGCACACUUCUAAAACUAGUACAUCAUAUCAUUGCUAACUACCAAGUUAUUACUAUGUUUUUCAACAGAUAAUCCCGAAUGAUUGUGUGCCUCAUCUGAUGUAUACACACGGUAGCCUUCAUGUUUUGAACAUACAACCAGGUUGUCCUACGAAUCUCAACUGUCCAUACCGGGUUUCUAAAAUAAGUGGAGACAUGAGAAUCAAAGAAUGGAAAAAAUAUAUGGACAGUCGUAAGGAGCUUCUUGGAAGCAACAUUCAGCGAAGGGCAAAAAUUGGAGACAGGAUGAUCGCCAUUCUUCAUAAUGGAGAGUCAGGAUCUAUAUUGUUUUAUGUUAUUUUACCUUAAGGGUGUUUAGGUCCUACCUGAUACUGAUGAUCAUGUGUUAAGAACAAUUAUGUAGGGUUGGGUUCGAUGACUAUGAGGAUGAUGAUCGUAUGACUUAUUAUUAAUAACGAGUAGAAGUUGUAUGAUGAUGCAUAAUUAGUAGGACGAGUACUUGUUAUUAUAUAUGCUGAUGUAUGCGAGCAUGCAUGAGUUAUUAUAUCAGCGGGUAAAAUGAACAUAUAUAGCAGCAGCGUUGGUAAACCAAGGACGAAGAUAUAAGAGAGGACACUUCUCUCUAUUAGCUAGCUAAUAUAACAACCUAAAAAUAACCCCCUAAACCCCUAAAAUAGCCAAUUUCCAAAAAAAAAACAUGGACUUUUGGUCUCGGUUGGUGCCACCAACCGGGACCGAAGGCCCCUUGACUGGGCUUGGCGCACAGAGCCACGUGGAGGCACAUUAGUCCCGGUUCUAGUUUAAAUCGGGACUAAUGGGUGGAGGUAUUAGUAACGGCCCAUUAGUCCCGGUUCAUGAACUGGGACUAAAGGCCCUCACGAACCGGGACUAUUAGGUGUUUUUCUACUAGUGUAGAUGCAUUUUAAGUGUGGAUUCAUUCAUUUUGCUCCGUAUGUAGUCCAUCCAGUGGAAUCUCUACAAAGACUUACAUUUAGGAACGGAGGGAGUAUUUGGCAUGCAUGCUUGGAUUGGGGGUAUUUUCUAUGCUUCUCCUCAAAAUAGACAAAAAUUACACUCAACCCAAGCAUGGCCUAAUCAUUGUUGCUAGUUGUUGCCCGUAUAGUUUUCAAUGUUAAAUCCACGCCUCCUUUUUCUUGAUUGUCUUACUUGUGCAGUGUUUUUCUAACAAGGCUUUUUGCAAUAGACUAAUUAUGUUAAUUUAAGAUUAAGACAUUGCUCUCAUUGCAACUAACAAGGUGACGCCAUUGAAAUGACAUUACGAUCCAGUUUACUAGUUAAGACCAAAAGGACCCUGGGAACAAGAUGUAUUUUGAUGCCUGCCCUUUUGUUAUAUUCCAGUCAUCACCGGUGACCCUGACGUAAGACAUAGUCCCUGAAGGAGUUUCUACACCCAGGGGCAAAUGCUCAAGGUGUGAACAGUAAAAUCAAAAAAAAAUCAAAAAAAAUAAUCUGAAUUUUUUGUUACAUACUUCCACAAAUGUUUGUUGUGCAUGCAAAAUUUCAUCGCGAAAUCACAUUGAUGAAAGGCAUGAUAAAGAAAAAAUCAAUGCUCUGAAAAUGUUACUUACAAAAGCAUUUUGGAGGUCUGACUUUGUUUUUUUGGCACGACUUCCACAAAUGUGAUUUUGUGAUGAAAUUUUGCAUGCACAACAAACAUUUGUGAAAGUAUGUAACAAAAAAUUCAGAUUAUUUUUUUUAUUUUACUGUUCACACCAUGAGCAUUUGCCCCUGGGUGUAGAAAGGUACUUUCGCUGAAGCAGCUACUUUCAUGAAAGUGCUUUUCUGAACUGAGCCUUUGUGAGCCCAAGGUGAACAGUAAAAUAGAAAAAAAUCAAAUAAUUCUGAAAAAGAUAGCAAACAUUGACAAAUGUUCUUGUAAAGUUUCAUCACAAAAUGACAUUAGUAAAAAUACAUGGGAAAAACGAUGUUUUUUGAUGAAAAAAAAAAUGUAUUUUGCUGUUCAUCCAAGCUCACAUAAGGUCAAGCUCGGUUUAACCUUGUCCCCACUUUCAUGCUUUCUGAGAAAUUCAACCCAAAAACAUCCCCUCAAGAAAUAAAUUCAACGCAAAAAAAUAAUCCACACAAUGUCAUAUUGCAUCCAUCCAAUCACCUACAGAAUGAUAAGGGUAGCUCCCAUUGAAAAUUCAAGACAUGGAAUCUGCAAUGUGCAUACAAGAUUCAUCAUCAUCGUCGUCGUCAUCAUCAUCAUCCAUCUUCAGGCACAAUAGAACCCCCAAGACACUCUGGUCCAAACCUGUCGAAUGGCCGUCCAUUUCGCUACCCUCUGCUACCACUACUACAUCUACCGGAACGAAAACUAGACAAAGUUCAACAUGAUUGCGCAAGACCAGGAACAACGAAAUGUAAAACACAAGAGGGUCAUCAUCUGAAGGAGCUCCAUAACAUGUAGAUGAAGUAGCACGCUCCCCACCGGCAAAACUAGAUAGUCGAUCAUGCAUCGGCCUUCUCGCUCUAAAGAUAUUUGAAGAGGAUGCCUCCAUAGGUGGCGAAGAAGGGGGCGAACACGAGGGACUCGACCGCCAUGAGCUUGAUGAGGAUGUUGAGUGAGGGGCCCGAGGUGUCCUUGAGAGGGUCCCCGAUGGUGUCGCCGAUCACAGCAGCC
rnacentral:lncRNA from 1 species